rnacentral:lncRNA from 1 species
UGACAUCCGAAGUAAAUAUAUUUGACCCAAAUAUGAGUUCAGCAAAGCUCUGAACAACUGAGAACAGAAUCUUAUAGCAGGAAGCAUUAGGAAAACUUCCUCGUGGGCAGAGCUGCCCGUCCUGCCUGCAAUAUUGUUUGUUAAGCACUUUGGAAUCCGUCGACAUGAACAGAACCACAUAACUGAAGCUGCUGGGCUGCAUUUCCCUGCUCCCUCUUUCUGCUGCAGUAUCUUACUGUUAAUUAUUGCUAUGAACCGCAGCUGGCUGGUGGGAGCACCAGGGGAAGGAGUGCCAAAGGACGAGAGCACUCCACAAAUACAGCUGCGAUUCCAUGAAGUCAGAGCAAGCAGCUCCUUGCCCACAAGAUGAGCGUGCAAACAGAUCACCGCCCAGCUCUUCAGCAGCCCUCAGUCCACACGACCUGGGGGAACGAGGGGCCAGCAGUGGGAGCUGCGUACAAAGAGCACGUCGAAGAAUUACAGUGGUGAAGGUAACUACUCUUCUUUCUUCAAGUUCUGCUACCUGUGAAACAGAAUCACAGAAUCACAGAAUUGUAGGGGUUGGAAGGGACCUCAAGAGAUCAUCGGGUCCAACCCCCCUGCCAAGGCAGGUUCCUCAGAGCAGGCUGCCCAGGGAGGCGUCCAAACAGACCUUGAAUAUCUCCAGAGAAGGAGACUCCAUAACCUCCCUGGGCAGCCUGUUCCAAAACCCUUUCCAGGUGUUUCGUUAG